rnacentral:rRNA from 1 species
UACGGAGGGUGCGAGCGUUAAUCGGAAUAACUGGGCGUAAAGGGCACGCAGGCGGGCGUGUAAGUGAGGUGUGAAAUCCCCGGGCGUAACCUGGAAAUAGCAUUGCAGACUGGGAGUCUAGAGUACUUUAGGGAGGGGUAGAAUUCCACGUGUAGCGGUGAAAUGCGUAGAGAUGUGGAGGAAUACCGAAGGCGAAGGCAGCCCCUUGGGAAUGUACUGACGCUCAUGUGCGAAAGCGUGGGGAGCAAACAGG